rnacentral:rRNA from 1 species
UACGGAGGGAGCGAGCGUUAAUCGGAAUUACUGGGCGGAAAGGGUGCGUAGGUGGUUGAUUAAGUUAUCUGUGAAAUUCCUGGGCUUAACCUGGGACGGUCAGAUAAUACUGGUUGACUCGAGUAUGGGAGAGGGUAGUGGAAUUUCCGGUGUAGCGGUCAAAUGCGUAGAGAUCGGAAGGAACACCAGUGGCGAAGGCGGCUACCUGGCCUAAUACUGACACUGAGGCACGAAAGCGUGGGGAGCAAACAGG